rnacentral:rRNA from 1 species
CACGAACUGCGCGAACGUUAUUCGGAUUUACUGGGCUUAAAGAGUUCGUAGGCGGCUUUGCAGGUGGGGUGUGAAAUCCCCCGGCUCAACCGGGGAACUGCGCUCCAAACCGCAGGGCUUGAGGGAGAUAGAGGUGAGCGGAACUCACGGUGGAGCGGUGAAAUGCGUUGAUAUCGUGAGGAACACCGGUGGCGAAAGCGGCUCACUGGGUCUCUUCUGACGCUGAGGAACGAAAGCUAGGGGAGCGAACGGGAUUAGAUACCCUCGUA